rnacentral:rRNA from 1 species
UACAGAGGUCCCAAGCGUUGUUCGGAUUCACUGGGCGUAAAGGGUGCGUAGGUGGUGAGGUUAGUCGGAUGUGAAAUCUCCGAGCUCAACUCGGAAACUGCAUUGGAAACUACCUUGCUCGAGGGUUGGAGGGGGGACUGGAAUGCUUGGUGUAGCAGUGAAAUGCGUAGAUAUCAAGCGGAACACCAGUGGCGAAGGCGAGUCCCUGGACAACUCCUGACACUGAUGCACGAAAGCUAGGGGAGCAAACAGG